rnacentral:rRNA from 1 species
AUUGAACGCUAGCGGCAUGCUUUACACAUGCAAGUCGAACGGCAGCGCGGGCUUCGGCCUGGCGGCGAGUGGCGAACGGGUGAGUAAUACAUCGGAACGUGCCCAGUAGUGGGGGAUAGCUCGGCGAAAGCCGGAUUAAUACCGCAUACGACCUGAGGGUGAAAGCGGGGGAUCUUCGGACCUCGCGCUAUUGGAGCGGCCGAUGGCAGAUUAGCUAGUUGGUGGGGUAAAGGCCUACCAAGGCGACGAUCUGUAGCUGGUCUGAGAGGACGACCAGCCACACUGGGACUGAGACACGGCCCAGACUCCUACGGGAGGCAGCAGUGGGGAAUUUUGGACAAUGGGCGAAAGCCUGAUCCAGCAAUGCCGCGUGUGUGAUGAAGGCCUUCGGGUUGUAAAGCACUUUUGGCGGGAACGAAAAGGACUGUGCCAAUACCACGGUUCGAUGACGGUACCCGCAGAAUAAGCACCGGCUAACUACGUG